AGAGUCACAUUCAGGGCAGGUUAGGGACUCCAGGCUCUGGACUUAGGCCUCCUCAGCAUGGCCCAGGUCUUGCAUGCUGAGGCUCUGAAAUCCAGGAAAAAUGGUUGACCCCAUGGACACUUCCUCAAAAUCUCUGCAGUGGAUGUGAUUCUGGAUACAAAAACACUAAACCCAUCCUCCUUGUUUCUGAGGACCAGAGGAGUGUGCAGCGUGCCAAGGAGCCCCAGGAUCUACCGGACAACCCUGAGAGAUUUGAUUGGCAUUAUUGUGUUCUCGGCUGUGAGAGCUUCAUGUCAGGGAGACAUUACUGGGAGGUGGAGGUAGGGGACAGGAAAGAGUGGCAUAUAGGGGUGUGUAGUAAGAAUGUGCAGAGAAAAGGUUGGGUCAAAAUGACACCUGAGAACGGAUUCUGGACUAUGGGGCUGACUGAUGGGAAUAAGUGUCAGACUCUAACUGAACCCAGAAACAACCUGAAACUUCAUAAGCCCCCUAGGAAAGUGGGGGUCUUCCUGAACUGUGAGACUGGAGAUAUCUCAUUCUACAAUGCUGUGAAUGGAUCGCAUAUUCAUACUUUCCUGGACGUCUCCUUCUCUGAGCCUCUAUAUCCUGUUUUCAGAAUUUUGACCUUGGAGCCCACUGGUCUAACAAUUUACCCAGUGCCAGAAGUAGAGAGUUCCUCAAUUCUGACCUAGUGCCUGAUCAUUCCCUGGAGUCACCAGUGACACCAGGCUUAGCUAACGAAUCUGGGGAGCCUCAGGCUGAAUGAAGUAACUUGUCUCUGCUUCUCCCUGCCCAGCUCAGAGCUGAGGGCCUCCCCCUCCACAGCAACCAAUCACAACCAUAAAGCUACAGGCACGCACUGAA